rnacentral:rRNA from 1 species
UACGUAGGGGGGCAAGCGUUGUCCGGAUUUAUUGGGCGUAAGGAGCGUGUAGGCGGCCAGGUAGGUCGGUUGUGAAAACUGGAGGCUCAACCUCCAGACGUCGACCGAAACCAUCUGGCUAGAGUCCGGAAGAGGAGAGUGGAAUUCCUGGUGUAGCGGUGAAAUGCGCAGAUAUCAGGAAGAACACCCGUGGCGAAAGCGGCUCUCUGGGACGGUACUGACGCUGAGACGCGAAAGCGUGGGGAGCGAACAGG